UACGGAGGGGGGCGAGCGUUAUUCGGAAUUAUUGGGCGUAAAGGGCGCGUAGGCGGCUGAUCAAGUCGAGGGUGAAAAGCCCGUGGCUCAACCACGGAAUGGCCUUCGAUACUGGUUGGCUUGAGACCGGAAGAGGACAGCGGAACUGCGAGUGUAGAGGUGAAAUUCGUAGAUAUUCGCAAGAACACCAGUGGCGAAGGCGGCUGUCUGGGUCCGGUUCUGACGCUGAGGCGCGAAAGCGUGGGGAGCAAACAGG
rnacentral:rRNA from 1 species